GCAUUAAUGGGGUAGUGGUAACCUGGGUCGUUGCCAUCGGGGUAAUAUGCUAUCGUAGUUAUCGACCCGCCGGGGGUUCGAUUCCCUCUUAAUGCA